rnacentral:rRNA from 1 species
UGGGGAAUAUUGGACAAUGGGGGAAACCCUGAUCCAGCGACGCCGCGUGUGUGAAGAAGGCCUGCGGGUUGUAAAGCACUUUUAGUGGGGACAAAAAGUCACGGGCUAAUACCUUGUGAUCUUGAUUUAACCUACAGAAAAAGCACCGGCUAACUCUGUGCCAGCAGCCGCGGUAAUACAGAGGGUGCGAGCGUUAAUCGGAAUUACUGGGCGUAAAGCGCGCGUAGACGGUUUUGUAAGUCGGAUGUGAAAUCCCCGGGCUCAACCUGGGAACUGCAUUCGAUACUGCUUGGCUAGAGUACGGUAGAGGGAAGCGGAAUUUCCGGUGUAGCGGUGAAAUGCGUAGAUAUCGGAAGGAACACCAGUGGCGAAAGUGACUUCCUGGACCAGUACUGACGUUCAUGUGCGAAAGCGUGGGGAGCAAACAG